rnacentral:rRNA from 1 species
UGGGGAAUCUUGCACAAUGGGGGCAACCCUGAUGCAGCGACGCCGCGUGAGCGAUGAAGCCCUUCGGGGCGUAAAGCUCUUUCGACCGGAACGAUAAUGACGGUACCGGGAGAAGAAGCUGCGGCUAACUACGUGCCAGCAGCCGCGGUAAUACGUAGGCAGCAAGCGUUGUUCGGAGUUACUGGGCGUAAAGGGCGCGUAGGCGGUCUGUUAAGUCCGAUGUUAAAUCCCGGGGCUCAACCCCGGAUAAGCGUUGGAUACUGGCAGGCUAGACGGUUGGAGAGGCGAGUGGAAUUACCAGUGUAGCGGUGGAAUGCGUAGAUACUGGUAGGAACACCCAUUGCGAAGGCAGCUCGCUGGACAACACGUGACGCUGAGGCGCGAAAGUGUGGGGAGCAAACC